rnacentral:rRNA from 1 species
UACAGAGGGGGCAAGCGUUGUUCGGAAUUACUGGGCGUAAAGGGCGCGUAGGCGGCCCGCUAAGUCGAACGUGAAAUCCCCGAGCUCAACUCGGGAACUGCGUCCGAUACUGGCGGGCUUGAAUCCGGGAGAGGGAUGCGGAAUUCCAGGUGUAGCGGUGAAAUGCGUAGAUAUCUGGAGGAACACCGGUGGCGAAGGCAAUCCCCUGGGCCUGCACUGACGCUCAUGCACGAAAGCGUGGGGAGCAAACAGG